rnacentral:rRNA from 1 species
AACCAGCACCUCAAGUGGUCAGGAUGAUUAUUGGGCCUAAAGCAUCCGUAGCCGGCUAUGUAAGUUUUCGGUUAAAUCUGUGCGCUUAACGUACAGGCUGCCGGGAAUACUGCAUAGCUAGGAAGUGGGAGAGGUAGACGGUACUCGGUAGGAAGGGGUAAAAUCCUUUGAUCUAUUGAUGACCACCUGUGGCGAAGGCGGUCUACCAGAACACGUUCGACGGUGAGGGAUGAAAGCUGGGGGAGCAAACCGGAUUAGAUACCCGGGUAGUCCCAGCUGUAAACUAUGCAAACUCAAUGAUGCAUUGGCUUGUGGCCAAUGCAGUGUUGCAGGGAAGCCGUUAAGUUUGCCGCCUGGGAAGUACGUACGCAAGUAUGAAACUUAAAGGAAUUGGCGGGGGAGCACCACAAGGGGUGAAGCCUGCGGUUCAAUUGGAGUCAACGCCAGAAAUCUUACCCGGAGAGACAGCAGAAUGAAGGUCAAGCUGAAGACUUUACCAGACAAGCUGAGGGGUGGUGCAUGGCCGUCGCCAGCUCGUGCCGUGAGAUGUCCUGUUAAGUCAGGUAACGAGCGAGAUCCCUGCCUCUAGUUGCCACCAUUACUCUCAGGAGUAGUGGGGCGAAUUAGCGGGACCGCCGCAGUUAAUGUGGAGGAAGGAAGGGGCCACGGCAGGUCAGUAUGCCCCGAAACUCUGGGGCCACACGCGGGCUGCAAUGGUAGUGACAAUGGGUUCCGAAUCCGAAAGGAGGAGGUAAUCCUCAAACACUACCACAGUUGUGACUGAGGGCUGCAACUCGCUCUCACGAACAUGGAAUCCCUAGUAACUGCGUGUCACUAUCGCGCGGUGAAUACGUCCCUGCUCCU